GGGAAUGUAUCUUAGUGGUAGAGUACUUGCCUAACAUGCAUGAAGUCCUAGGUUUGAUUCCUCAGUUCCA
rfam:Dipodomys ordii contig_13369, whole genome shotgun sequence.